UACAGAGGUCUCAAGCGUUGUUCGGAUUCAUUGGGCGUAAAGGGUGCGUAGGCGGCGCGGUAAGUCGGGUGUGAAAUCUUGGAGCUUAACUCCGAAACUGCAUUCGAUACUGCGGUGCUUGAGGACUGGAGAGGAGACUGGAAUUCAUGGUGAGCAGUGAAAUGCGUAGAGAUCAUGAGGAAGACCAGUGGCGAAGGCGGGUCUCUGGACAGUUCCUGACACUGAGGCACGAAGGCCAGGGGAGCAAACGGG
rnacentral:rRNA from 1 species